rnacentral:lncRNA from 1 species
UCCAAUCAAUAUUCUUUAAAGAGUAAAUAGACUCUAUUUGGCAGAAAGACCUUGUGCAAAAACCUUUGAGCCUCAAAAGCACAGACUCAUCUUAGAGCUCCAAGAAUGAAGGCUGGCGAACUAAUGAACUUUGGGUAUUCAUCCACUUUACAUGUAACUGGUUGAAGUUGAUUAUGUAGAAUUCCUCAUUUUUUUAUAUUAUAUAAAGUAUAUGUAUGUUGUAGAAUAAAGAUUGGUUAACUAUGUAAUAACUAUUGAAUCUUCAAUUUUUAUGAAAGAAACCAUUUUU